rnacentral:misc_RNA from 1 species
GAAAUGCGAUAAGUAGUGUGAAUUGCAGAAUUCAGUGAAUCAUCGAAUCUUUGAACGCACAUUGCGCCCUUUGGUAUUCCUUAGGGCAUGCCUGUUCGAGCGUCAUCUAAACCUUCAAGCCCUGCUUGGUGUUGGGUGCCUGUCCCGCCUCCGCGCGCGGACUCACCUCAAAUCCAUUGGCGGCCCCCGCGUCGGCCACGAGCGCAGCAGAAACGCGAACUCGUGAGUCCGUCCGGGCGGCUCCCAGAAGCUACACCCACCCAGUUUGACCUCGGAUCAGGUAGGGUUACCCGCUGAACUUAAGC